GAAAAAUUUAGUUAAAUAAUAACAUUAGAUUGUCAAACUAAAGUAAUUAAUAUAAUUAAUAAUUUUU
rnacentral:tRNA from 1 species